GUGCCCACUUUAGUAGCACUUAUACUAAAACUGGAAAAAAUACAGAGAUUAGCAUAGCCACUGAAUAAGGAUGACAUGCAAAUUCUUGAAGCAUUCCAUAUUUUG
ensembl:snRNA U6 U6 spliceosomal RNA